GACAGAGGUGCCAAGCGUUAGGCGGAAUCACUGGGCUUAAAGCGUGUGUAGGCGGAUCGUUAAGUACCUUGUGAAAUCCCACGGCUCAACCGUGGAACUGCUCGGUAUACUGGCGGUCUUGAGCCACCUAGGGGCAACUGGAACAAACGGUGGAGCGGUGAAAUGCGUAGAUAUCGUUUGGAACGCCAAUGGUGAAAACAGGUCGCUGGGGAUGAGCUGACGCUGAGACACGAAAGCCAGGGGAGCAAACGGG
rnacentral:rRNA from 1 species